rnacentral:rRNA from 1 species
UACGAAGGGGGCUAGCGUUGCUCGGAAUCACUGGGCGUAAAGCGCACGUAGGCGGAUCGUUAAGUCAGGGGUGAAAUCCUGGAGCUCAACUCCAGAACUGCCUUUGAUACUGAAAGUCUUGAGUAUGGGAGAGGUGAGUGGAACUGCGAGUGUAGAGGUGAAAUUCGUAGAUAUUCGCAAGAACACCAGUGGCGAAGGCGGCUCACUGGCCCAUAACUGACGCUGAGGCACGAAAGCGUGGGGAGCAAACAGG